UGCCUACGGGGCGCAGCAGUCGGGAAUAUUGCGCAAUGGAGGAAACUCUGACGCAGUGACGCCGCGUAUAGGAAGAAGGUUUUCGGAUUGUAAACUAUUGUCGUGAGGGAAGAAAUUGACAGUACCUCAGGAGGAAGCUCCGGUUAACUAUGUGCCAGCAGCCGCGGUAAUACAUAGGGAGCAAGCGUUAUCCGGAUUUACUGGGUGUAAAGGGAGCGUAGACGGAGGAGCAAGUCUGAUGUGAAAAUCCGGGGCCCAACCCCGGAACUGCAUUGGAAACUGUUUAUCUAGAGUGUCGGAGAGGG
rnacentral:rRNA from 1 species